UCCAAAACACCUUUAGAGACAAGUGGAGAUUUAGAAGCGAUUAGUAGGGCCCUGCCAGAGGAUCUCAAGCAGCGGUCCACCGAGGUUACUGCCUCUUUUUAACAUUAUUAGAUAAGACAGAUUGUUAAUGCUGCUGAAGGGCCAGAAGGGUCAUUAGAAUUAUUUCUGAUUUGGAGUCAUUUAACUGCAGGACACUUUUGGACAUCUAGUCCUUAAUUUCAGCGAGGCAGGACAGAAUACAGGACACGUCAGUGGCACCAGGCUUGAUCCAGACAUACAGUUGAGUGUAAUCCGUGUAGCAAUGAAAAUUGAUAUUGUGUCCAUGCAUGAUUUGCCCCAGGGAUUGUAUGUACAUAGUAAAUAAGAGGGGACCCAGAAUAUACCGCUGAGGGACCCCACAAAACAGAGGAGCAUGAGAGGAGGAGGCAUCUCCAAGCAUAACAGAGAAAGACCUUUCUGACAGAUCAGAGAUGAUCCAAUCUAGAGCCACAUCACUGAUGCCAAUAUAGUUCUUCAGACAUUGUGGUUCACUGAGUCAAAGGCUGAGCUGAGAUCAAGGAGAAUUAAAAUGGAGUACAGGCCUGCGUCAGCAGCAAGCAGAGGAGUCUCUGUUCGAACCGGUCUGACAUACUGCUUUAAAAAGUGGGCAUGCAGUCUGAAGGGCAGUAUGCAGUCGGGGGUUUUGAUUUUUCAGUUGUUUCUCUCCAGAUUCAUUCAGGUGAAUUUUCUGCAGAUUCCUCCUUCAGUCUGACCUUCUUGGAUGAUGAUGACUGCAGCAUCACAGUCAUUUCUAACGCUUCCAUCAGCCUGAAUGGAAACAGACCACAGCAAGAGGAGGAGCUACACCACUGAAUAUGAAAGGCUUCAUUUUGGAACUGAAGAGCUGCUUUGCUCUCUCUAUUGUUCAUUCAGUACAAGUGAAAAUCAUGCAGCGCUCUUUGGUUUGGAUGAUGAUGUUCAUGUUUCAUACAGGAUCCUCUGAGGAUGUAGUGAAACCAUUUGAAGAUGUAAUGCUGGCUUUGGAAGGAGAUACUGUGACUCUCUCCUGCAACUAUUCAGGCUCUGUCACCAACGUCUACUGGUAUCAACAGAAGUCCAGUUCAUCUCCACAGCUUCUCAUCGCAAGUUAUUCAGAGAAAACAGCAAGGUUGUCUGUUACACAUGACACAAAAACAAAAGAGGUUCAUCUGCAGAUCUCCUCUGCUGCAGUGACUGACUCUGCUGUGUACUACUGUGCUCUGCGGCCCACAGUGACAGGAAACACCAAGACUCUGUACAAAAACCUUUGGAGCAAAGACAACAGAAUACUCCACAACAUCCACUAGAGGGAGUCACACACUGUUAACCUUCAGUGAUAUGUGAUGAUACAGUCUAGAAUCAUGGACACCUCCUCCACAAGUUGUUCCCUCAGUUAUAUAUACAGCCUUUAUUUAAUCAGGUCGUCUCACUGAGAUCAGACAGACCUGAGUACAGCAGGUAGAGAGAAACACAAGCUAAAGGACAGACAGCAUCAGAGACAGACGUCACAGAUCAUCUGGUCUUAU